rnacentral:SRP_RNA from 1 species
GCCGGACGCGGUGGCGCGUGUCUGUAAUCCUGGCUUCUCGGGAGGCUGAAGCUGAAGGAUCGCUUGAGCUCAGGAGACCUGGGUGGCAGUAGCCUGUGUCGAUCGGGUGUCCGAGUUAAGCUUGGCAUCGAUAUGGAGCUCCUGGGGGAGCCCGGGGCUACCAGGUCGUUUAAGGAGGGGCGAACCGGCCCAGGUCGGAAAUAAAUCACCUAGGCAGGCCUUUGGAAGCUGCUCAGUUUCCUGAUCACCUGACCCUGCCACCAGUGUCACAGAAUAGCCCCUUGACCUCCAUGGGACCCCGACGCCUCUC